UUUACAUUAUUUGGGCUUCAUAUUUUGUUAUUUAUGUUUUCUGAAAAAUAAGAGCCCAGCCCGAAUGAAAGGUAAACAACUGAUUUUUCACGACCUUUGGAUUCAUCGUCUUUCUCGAUCUGACUUCCUCAUAUAGGAUUCACCUAUUCAUUAUCAGACGAAUCCAUCUACGCUACAACCUUCGCCAUUAAUAGAGUUUCAUGAAGUUAGGUGAGACGAAUCUUCGUGAAGAAUCUUUAGGUCAGAUUUUUGUUCGCGUCCGUUCGUCUGACAAUAUUCUACUCCAAAACGUUACAGAUUCAAUGAUUCAUCGACAUUAAGAACCAUCAUUACUCCUCCUCUAGGUGGUGUAUAUCACCUAUAAAAAGUUCAGUACUCAUCUCAUGAGCAUCAUCCUCUCAAUUUCUAAAAACAUUAGAAACUUAUUUUCCAAUUUCAAGUUCGACUUCGAAACGAGACGUCUACACGAAUAUUUAGACACAAAAUCUGAAACUGAGGAAGAUGAAGAUGAAGAAUUGAGACUUUCCCAAAAUUAAGUGAAUUGACAGAGCAAGCAAAGGAGAUCGACGGAGAGCAACGGAGCACUCGGCGGAGAACGACGGAAAAAGUAGCGGAGAAUGUGACGAGAGAUAGCAAAGGUAAUUGUUACAGUUCUAUCUGGCACAAGGGAGGUUGAUCGGCUCUCAGACAGGAAAACAGAUUCUGCUUGAAGUUCAGACAUUGGGAAGGUCUGCCUCAGGCUUUGUUGGGAAGCUGCAAUGAUCGUGCAAGGCAUAUUAACGCUUCAUCUACAGGUCUUUCCCCAAAUUUCAAGAUUUUAUCUCGCUCACACUUCAUUUUUUAUCAUUCAUAUGUUUUUUGUUUAUAAGAAAAGGGGAAUGUAGGACUGUGUUAAAGUUGAUUUUAUUUUGUAAGAAUUAGAUUGUUUCUUCCGAAGUAUUUGUAAAUGGAUGAAUGAAACUUGCGGUCGAGAAGUCUGACAUGACUGCAUAGCUUCUCAUGACGCAUUUACUCAAAUUUGAUGGCAUCAAGACAUAAAGGAAAUAGUACAAAGAAAGCAGAGUUUAGUUUCUCAUCUCUUGCAUUCUUCUUCCAUCUGCAUUAUAUACUAUAUUUACACUAUAAGAACGUCAGCAGUAGUGGUGAACAACAUGAAUCAGGUAACUAUGACUAAUGAGUUAUGAGACUUUUGGAUGAGUUGCAGUGAACUGGAUUUUGACUAUGGUAAGUAUAUCUUUGGAUUCCUUUUAUAGUUUUUGUUCAAAUAAUUUUUUAUUGUAGAGUCUUUUUUUUUUAUUGUAGAAUCUUUGAUUAUGAUACACUCGGAUUUGAGACAGAACAAACAUCCCGAGUGAGACAGAAAAUGUUACGAGAAAACGGUAAUGGAGGCAUCUAAAUUACUAUGGGUUGCAACACACUGGUGAUAGAGAGGAAUCACGAGAAGGAGAAGAUGAAGCAAGAGAUAGAGAGAAAAGAAGAGGAAAUAAAGAAGCUUGGAGAGAAAGUUAGAGAAGAUGAAAAGGAGAAGGAGAGGAACUCCUUCUGCAUAAGCCAUUGGAAGGUUGGGAAUAGUAAAGCUCAAAGGUACCUGAGGAACAUGUGGAAGAAGAAGCCUAUUCCUUUCUCACAUGAGUUUCCACGUGCUGAACCCCUUUCUCUUCACCUACCAGAAAAUAUUGUCUUCUAACCCCAAUGACCUCCUUACAGCUGAAAGGUGUUUCACACAUUUCAUUUAUUACAUUCGUUAUGAUGUAAGUGGGUUGUGUUUGAAAUGAGAAAUGCAGAAAACUGAAAACUCUAUGCAUGCUACUUACUAAGGUUUUUAAUGGUUUGGAGUGAUAGAUUACCACAGUUCUUCGAAGGGGAUCAAAGAGUUGGGCUGAGAAGAGAGGAAACAAUAUCUAGCGAGAAUGUUGGAGGCUCACACAAGCCAGAUAUGUGCAAGGAUUACAAAGAUACUGGAUACUGCGGAUUAGCCUCACAUGACCGUGGGUGUUACAAAGUGGGAUGAACAUAGAGAAAGAGUGGGAAGAUAAAUACAGCUAUAGGAGUUUAAGAUGAGAAUUAUGACAGUACUGACAUCAACAUCAACAUGGACAAAGAUACAUAGCCCUUUUAUCUGCUUCAUAUGCAGAGAGCCUUUUGUGGAUCCAGUUGUCACCAUGGAAGCAUUACUUAUGUGUGUUUCUUUAUGGUUUAGUUAAGAGAGCCCCCUGCUUUCUGCUCAACGUUUUUAAUAUAUAUACAAACGAUUUAUAUAUAAAAAUAAAAAGCACAUGUUCCCUCAAAUUUUCAAGACUCGGGAAGAAAAGCACAAAACUAAGUAAUUAUUUUAAUUAUCAGUUUUUUAUAUAUGUUUUACUUAUUCAUAGAUAAAUUUUUAUUAUUUUUGUUAUUUUCUCAUAGAC